UGAUCUGACGAGCUUGCUCUGAUUUGAUUUUAUCUGACAAAGAGUGGCGAACGGGUGAGUAACACGUGGGUAACCUACCUCUUAGCAGGGGAUAACAUUUGGAAACAAGUGCUAAUACCGUAUAAUACCAACAACCGCAUGGUUGUUGGUUGAAAGAUGGUUCUGCUAUCACUAAGAGAUGGACCCGCGGUGCAUUAGCUAGUUGGUAAGGUAACGGCUUACCAAGGCAAUGAUGCAUAGCCGAGUUGAGAGACUGAUCGGCCACAAUGGGACUGAGACACGGCCCAUACUCCUACGGGAGGCAGCAGUAGGGAAUCUUCCACAAUGGGCGCAAGCCUGAUGGAGCAACGCCGCGUGUGUGAUGAAGGGUUUCGGCUCGUAAAACACUGUUAUAAGAGAAGAACGGCACUGAGAGUAACUGUUCAGUGUGUGACGGUAUCUUACCAGAAAGGAACGGCUAAAUACGUGCCAGCAGCCGCGGUAAUACGUAUGUUCCAAGCGUUAUCCGGAUUUAUUGGGCGUAAAGCGAGCGCAGACGGUUAUUUAAGUCUGAAGUGAAAGCCCUCAGCUCAACUGAGGAAUGGCUUUGGAAACUGGAUGACUUGAGUGCAGUAGAGGAAAGUGGAA
rnacentral:rRNA from 1 species